rnacentral:rRNA from 1 species
UGGGGAAUAUUGCACAAUGGGGGAAACCCUGAUGCAGCAACGCCGCGUGAGUGAUGAAGGCCUUCGGGUUGUAAAGCUCUGUCUUUGGGGACGAUAAUGACGGUACCCAAGGAGGAAGCCACGGCUAACUACGUGCCAGCAGCCGCGGUAAUACGUAGGUGGGAAGCGUUGUCCGGAUUUACUGGGCGUAAAGGGAGCGUAGGUGGAUAUUUAAGUGGGAUGUGAAAUCCCCGGGCUUAACCUGGGGGCUGCAUUCCAAACUGGAUGUCUAGAGUGCAGGAGAGGAGAGUGGAAUUCCUAGUGUAGCGGUGAAAUGCGUAGAGAUUAGGAAGAACACCAGUGGCGAAGGCGACUCUCUGGACUGUAACUGACACUGAGGCUCGAAAGCGUGGGGAGCAAACA